rnacentral:rRNA from 1 species
UACGGAGGGUGCAAACGUUGCUCGGAAUUAUUGGGCGUAAAGCGCACGUAGGCGGACCAUCAAGUCGGUUGUGAAAUCCCUCGGCUUAACCGGGGACGUGCAUUCGAAACUGAUGGCCUUGAGUACGAAAGAGGAUCGCGGAAUUCCCGGUGUAGAGGUGAAAUUCGUAGAUAUCGGGAGGAACACCAGUGGCGAAGGCGGACGAUCUGGGUCGAGUACUGACGCUGAGGUGCGAAAGCGUGGG